CAGCAAAAAGAAGGGAAAACAGUCAUUAUUGUAGAACAGCCAUUUGAAGCCCCACCUGACCAAACAAACAGCAGCCACAGGAAACUCCCGGCAUUGAUUCACCCAUUCAACUUCCAUCUUUCUACAUAAUUCACACAAAUGAAACAGUGAGAAAAUUCACCAAGUCAUUCUGAGAGGGGGGAAAAAAAAACCAAAGCUUCGGUACAUGCACAAAAACAGCAAUUUGACUGCACAAAUAAAUGACAAAUUUGUCUGUCUGUGUUGAAAUUCAAUGCAGUGAAAGAAAGGCCUUCACAGAAGAUGAGGCUCCAACAUCAUCAAAAGCGGCUGGUACAGAAAGCGCCAUUCAAAUCCCCGGGACGGCACUCGCCACUAAUUAGUUCUGUGAGGUCUUUUGACAUCCAGUUCAAGGAAUCUCUGCGAAAAAUUCCAAUUUAUGAAACACACUCGCAGGCAACCUAAGGCGGCUAUUCAGAUUUCCACCAAGGAAAACGUGAUGUUGUCCACCUCCUCUCCGGUGGCAAUUUUCAUUUCUCAUCCGUACAGCAACACAGCCCACGGGAGCCGAGGGAAGAGACCGCUCUGCACUGAAAGGCAGGGCCGUGGCCAGAGACUUCAGGUCGGCAAUGGACUGUGGAGUAGCUGGGAGGCUGCACCCGUGAUCUUCAGAGAGCAGAUCCUGGACUAGGGAGGACACCGAGUUGACAACUCAGUCAUGGAUUCUGAAACACGGGGCUGCAAACCCAUGCCAGUUCUUCCCAGAUAACGGGGGUCCCGAGCUCGGACAUGAUACCGUGUUUUACCGAGAGUCUAUCCCAGCUACCACAAGGAGAAUGACAUAAAACUCAGUGUGGGGGCUAAGUGGGAAAGCCUCAAGGAAGUUCGACCCCCUUUCAAAAAGUUUCUUCUUUCCGUCAAGCCAGGAUGGAACCCCGGGCUGUCCUGCUAUGCAGUUGCUCGCUCACUGAACCACACUCACAUCCAGCCAUCUGCUGCCUGUUCAGAGAUUAACAACAUUUUCACUUGCCAGUGUGUGUAGACAUUUUUAUACUAAUUCACUGAGACUCUGAACUGGGGGGGGGAGACCCCAAACCCAGCAAGUGUUAUUUAUUUCCAUUGUGUUAACAAUAAAGCAAGUCUCAGAUGGGUUAAAAACACUUGUUCAAGGUCAUACUGCCCUGCAAAUGACAAUACUUCCCUGCCCUUCAGGUGCUCUGAUUAUGGCAAAAGUAAUAUACCACUUUAAAGGGGUAAAUCAAUGGGGAGAAAAUACAAGUGACCACCACCCUGGUACUCCUCCUGACCAUGAAAAAACACUGUGCUCUCUCGAAUAUUACUUCCUAUGUAACUAUAUGUAUGUACACAGAUUCAUUCAAUAUUCUUCUAAAAUGGGAAAAAUAUGACUUUUUCACCUAACAACAUUCCAUCCCAAUAAUAUCCCCUAGAACAUAAAUGUGAACCCCCACUUUAAUACUCUAUCUAGGUUUGUAAAAAUUCCUUUAGCUAUUGCUAGAUAUUUAUGUCAUUUCCAGUUGAAUGUAUGAAGAAAUUUCUUAGAGCAAAAAGUUCA